CUGAUUUAGAUGAACAAUUAUACUUUAAAGGUCAGCCUUACACUGCAAUUUUCGAUUUGAUUAUUUUAGCAGACUCAUGCAGAGUGACUAACAGUUAGUGCAUAUGCCACCUAUGAUUAUAUUUAGUCAUUUUCCCUACUUAGGCUCUUUAAUAUUUAUUAAUUUAGUGUGCUGGGUUUUGGUUUUCUUAUGUGACUUCCUUUGAAUUGUUUAAUCCCAUUUGAACACUUGUGAAUGAGUGUUAAUUAGUUUUUUUUAACCUAAUGGGUAUGGGGGGUUAAUGAGCUUCCCCUGCACAAAGGAAGCCCUCAAAAUACAUAUUUCGCACCUGAAUGUGCUGAAUGAAGACCAGUGAAAGAUCUGUUCAAUGUUAUGUCUAGUUGCCAAAAUUUUAACGAACAUGAAAGGGGUUUGGAGAGAGAAAUCCUGUGGAGGUGGUUGAGCAACACUGGACUGUUACUGGCGCAGAGAUGUCUGGAAAGGUAGAGGGGUAAGAAGACGGGAUGGAGUAGAGUGGGAACAGUUGGAGGUAGAGUAGUGAGAGUAAAGGUUAAGAAGAGGAAGCAUGAGGAGUCUUUGGAGUUCUUGUCGGAGGAGAGUUGCGAUGAGGGAUUUUCGGUUCGCAGUGUUGUACUGAGAUAAGUGGAGUUCAUGGUAUUGGUGAAAUUUAAGGACGAGGAUGGGGUCACUGAGAAGUGACCUGCUAUGACAAGACUGCUGAUGCAACGACUACUGCAUCAGAACACCACAAUGCUGACGCGACCAACGCUCCAUGCCAAACAACUAUGGACUCUAGUGGUGUACACCGGUGUUGGUAGUGAUCUUGAGUCCAGACGCCUGUUAACAAAGAUCCUGAAUAUGGCGAGGGCAACUCAAGUAACUGUCAGUCCAAACAUUAGGCUUGGACUGCGGCAGGUUCCUGCCAAUGACCUGAACUGCCUUGAUUUAUUUACUGUCAUUCACUCGAGGUACUAGGAAAGGUGUUUGCUCAUCUAAAAGCUGAGCUUGGGCAAAUCCCUUGGGUUGACAAAGAUCCUGAACAUGAAGCUGAACACCUACUUAUUGAGAUGUAUCAUAGUAAAACUCUACCGAAGAACAAGACAAGAGUGGUGUCUUCUCUUAACGGGGAUGGGAACUAUAGAGUUUUUGUGGCAACAACAUCCCUGGGAAUGGGUUUGGAUUUCCGUAACAUUUCACAUGUUGUGAUGUAUGGCCCACCAGGGGAUUUAGAGGAUAUACAGGGCAUUCGGAAAGUAUUCGGACCGCUUUACUUUCCCCACAUUUUGUUACGUUACAGCCUUAUUCUAAAAUGGAUCAAAUAUUUUUUUCCUCGUCAAUUUACACACAAUAUCCCAUAAUG